ensembl:lncRNA
GUGCUGGUCCUUUAUAUAAGCACCCAGAGCCCUGUGAGCCCUGCAGCCAUCUCCCAGCAACACCUCCUUUGCCACCUCAGAACUCCCACCCAGAACGCCUCUAAGAGCUCAGGCUCAAUCAUAACAACCCCAAAAGUGACCCCAGCACACCUCAGAUCCUGCAAGUGCAAAUGCUUGUAAAGGUGCCUGGGGUUGGAGGGUGAAAGGCUGGAAGAUGAAAAACAUCUUUGCUACCUUCCUUUCCCAAAGACUCCUGAGUUACAGGCAGGGAGCCCUGAGGGAAAGGGGUGCUGCUCUGGCUCCAUGUCCUCGGGAGUUCCCUGCACUGAGUCCUUGAAAGUGAUCCCUUCUUCUGGGGGAAAAGGCAUUAUGGUGAUUUAACCCGGUCUCAACUGAAUUCCCUGGUCCUGAGCAUGUGGCUGCCUCCAGAGAAGUUAGGCUCCUGACCCCUCUCAUUCUCCCUGUGACUCUUCACGGCAGCUCACUAGGUCAAGACUCCAUCAUCAAGUCUGCUAGUUCUGCCAGAGCCUGCCUCAUAACAGAGACUGGAAUUUACGCAAGAUACUGUGAACUCUAAAAUUCCACAGUGGCUUCCCCUGGAGGUUCCGUUGUCUCUCCUCAUCAGUCAGUUCUCUGUUGAUCAGAAUCACAUCCAGAGCAGCCUUUGCCCAUGAGCUUCCUUUUCGUCUGAGCUCAGACAUCGGCUGGCCAAGUCGGGAAAGCAUCACAGGCUCCACUUUGAGCCAAGCAAUGCAGCAAGUCCUCUUACUGCUUCCUCUGGCCUCUGUGCCCGUUUUAUGGCAUCCCUUAGAGAACACGGUCCCCGUGGCCCCCUUCUGACCCAGUGGCCCACGUCAUUCUCAUACCACAGUGUCCAAUUCUCCUUUCAGCUUCAUCCAAAAGCUGGCUCUGCUCCUUACGACCUUGCAUUGCCCGCCACAGCCGUCAACCAGCGUCCCCACUGCCCAUCUCCACCACACACUCCAA